GGAAACGCUACCACAAAUCCGAUUGUAAAGAUUCAAAUCUUCAGAUAUUUCCUCCAUUUGUACCAUAGCGCAAGAUUUUCGCUGCUUCCGACCCUCUUCGCGCGUUGAUGGGUGUUGAUCCUAGUAUUAGAGUUA